AACGAACGCUGGCGGCAGGCCUAACACAUGCAAGUCGAGCGCCCCGCAAGGGGAGCGGCGGACGGGUGAGUAACGCGUGGGAACGUGCCCUUUGCUACGGAAUAGCCCCGGGAAACUGGGAGUAAUACCGUAUAAGCCCUACGGGGGAAAGAUUUAUCAGCAAAGGAUCGGCCCGCGUUGGAUUAGGUAGUUGGUGGGGUAAUGGCCUACCAAGCCGACGAUCCAUUGCUGGUUUGAGAGGAUGAUCAGCCACACUGGGACUGAGACACGGCCCAGACUCCUACGGGAGGCAGCAGUGGGGAAACUUAGACAAUGGGCGCAAGCCUGAUCUAGCCAUGCCGCGUGAGCGAUGAAGGCCUUAGGGUUGUAAAGCUCUUUCGUGGGGGAAGAUAAUGAUUGUACCCCAAGAAGAAGCCCCGGCUAACUCCGUGCCAGCCGCCGCCGUAACAC
rnacentral:rRNA from 1 species